rnacentral:lncRNA from 1 species
GAUCGUGAGUUGGGAAGUCAACAUAUGUCUCCAACUUGUUCUUCAGAAACCGGUUGUACGAGAACCUCUUCAGGUGGAUGACCAGAAUCUCCGGCAGUCUCCAAAGAUCCAACUUUUUAGUAGCUUGGCGAUGCUGCUUGCAUGCAGGGCAAUACCUAAUGUUGGAUAUAAGACAAAGAAAGUUAGGCAGAUUAUAUUCAUACCUCCCAAGCGAAUGACACAAAUCAAGAUCAUGAGUUGGGAAGUCAACAUAUGUCUCCAACUUGUUCUUCAGAAACCGGUUGUACGAGAACCUCUUCAGGUGGAUGACCAGAAUCUUCGGCAGCCUCCAAAGAUCCAACUUUUUAGUAGCUUGGCGAUGCUGCUUGCAUGCAGGGCAAUACCUAAUGUUGGAUAUAAGACAAAGAAAGUUAGGCAGAUUAUAUUCAUACCUCCCAAGCGAAUGACACAAAUAAAUGAUU